CAACCUGCCGAUAACUCGGGGAUAGCCUUUCGAAAGAAAGAUUAAUACCCGAUAGUAUAAUUAGACCGCAUGGUCUUAUUAUUAAAGAAUUUCGGUUAUCGAUGGGGAUGCGUUCCAUUAGGCAGUUGGUGAGGUAACGGCUCACCAAACCUUCGAUGGAUAGGGGUUCUGAGAGGAAGGUCCCCCACAUUGGAACUGAGACACGGUCCAAACUCCUACGGGAGGCAGCAGUGAGGAAUAUUGGUCAAUGGGCGCAGGCCUGAACCAGCCAAGUAGCGUGAAGGAUGACUGCCCUAUGGGUUGUAAACUUCUUUUAUAUGGGAAUAAAGUUUUCCACGUGUGGAAUUUUGUAUGUACCAUAUGAAUAAGGAUCGGCUAACUCCGUGCCAGCAGCCGCGGUAAUACGGAGGAUCCGAGCGUUAUCCGGAUUUAUUGGGUUUAAAGGGAGCGUAGGUGGACAGUUAAGUCAGUUGUGAAAGUUUGCGGCUCAACCGUAAAAUUGCAGUUGAUACUGGCUGUCUUGAGUACAGUAGAGGUGGGCGGAAUUCGUGGUGUAGCGGUGAAAUGCUUAGAUAUCACGAAGAACUCCGAUUG
rnacentral:rRNA from 1 species